CCGGGGCUGGCCUCGCUCCGGUAGCACGCACUCACUUCUUUACCUUGGCCGCGGCGGGCAUCGGACUUGCAGCACGUGCACACCUAGAGGAAGACCCGACAGUCAAUCUGAUUGUUUUCGUUGCUGUGCGGUGUGCCUACACCGGUGAAGGACCAUGGUAUUAUCACUAUUUCAGCCUGACAACCCCACCACAUGCGAUCACGAAUUGGCUCACUUGAUGAUGGAGGCCCAGAAGUCUCAUGAUUUGCCAUCUGCAAGCUGGAGAUCCAGGGAAGCUGGUGGUUUAAUCCAGUCCAAUUCCAAAAGCCUGAGAACCAGGAGUACUAAUGUCUACGAGCAGGAGAAGAUUGAUGUCCCAACUUAAACAGAGAAUAAAUUCUCUCUUCCUCUAGGUUUUUGUUCUAUUCAGACCCUCAGUGGAUUAGAUAAGCUGACCUGCAUUGGUGAAAGCAAUCUUCUUUAUUUAGUCUACCAAUUCAAAUGCUAAUCUCUUCUGGAAACACCCUCACAGACUUAUGCAGAAAAUUUGUUUACCCAUAUCUAGGUAUCCCUUAGCCUAGUCAAGUUGACAUGUAAAAUUCACCAUCACAACUCAGGACCUCCAGAGUUCAUGGAGGACCCAUGUGUUAGGAUCUAAGUGGUCAAUGCAUCACACUUCCUUUUUCCCCACCUGUGUACAUAACAAGUCUCUUUUCUCCACCCAAGUUCUGAACCAGUGGAGAUAGAUAAAUGAGGCAGACGGCAACAGUCACCUUUAUAACUGAUAAAGACCAUACUGGAAGGUAUGGCUUCGGUGUGCAGCCACCAUGGACUUCCUAACAGGAUGGUGGGGUGUAUUUUUGGCCAUGCCACACAGCUUGUGGGAUCUCAGUUCCCUGACCAGAGAUUGAACCUGGGCCAAGACACUGAAAGAGUGGAGUCCUAACCACUAGGGUACCAGGGAUCUCCUUUUUUUUUUUCCAAACAGGAAUUUCAGAAUUAGACUGACUCACUACCCCAUCAUAAUUAUCAGUGGCAAACCAUAGGCCUCUCACUCAUGGGAGGUGUACCUCUGUAAAACAUAUAGAAAGGAACAGAUCCAAGUGGGUGCUCUCUGCACCUGGGGGAGAGGGAGUGAAAGCUGAGUGGAGAGAGGCCAAGAGUGUUAGUAAUAGGGCUUCUGUCCUAAGAAAGAAAACAUCAGGAAUGUGGAGAAAGUGGUCCCCCAAUACCAUGUUCUUUUUUUUUAAUAUUUAUUUAUUUAUUUGGCUGCAUCAGGUCUUAGUUGUGGUAUGCAGAAUCUUCUUUGCCACGUGUGGAAUUUUUAGUUGUGGCAUGUGGGAUCUAGUUCCCUGACCAGGAAUGAAACCCAGGCCUGCUGCAUUGGGACUGUGAAGUCUUAGCCACCGGACCACUGGGGAAGUCCCAAUACCAUGUUCUACUUUGUUUU